UUGACGCUGUUCUCUUUUCGACCUAGAUUAAAGGAAUAAGGGUGAGAGAGGAUUUCUCCCCCCUCUGAUUGACUGUUAGUAAGCGGCGAAACUUAUCAGUAACAGAACAACCAGUAUGAUGAGUUGCUUCAUCAUAACCCUUUCCUUAU
rnacentral:sRNA from 1 species